AACGAACGCUGGCGGCAUGCCUAACACAUGCAAGUCGAACGAGACCUUCCGGUCUAGUGGCGCACGGGUGCGUAACGCGUGGGAACCUGCCCUUAGGUUCGGAAUAAAUCCCCGAAAGGGGUGCUCAUACCCGAUAAUUUCUUCGGACCAAAGAUUUAUCGCCUUUGGAUGGGCCCGCGUUGGAUUAGCUAGUUGGUAGGGUAAAAGCCUACCAAGGCGACGAUCCAUAGCUGGUCUGAGAGGAUGAUCAGCCACACUGGGACUGAGACACGGCCCAGACUCCUACGGGAGGCAGCAGUGGGGAAUAUUGGACAAUGGGCGAAAGCCUGAUCCAGCAAUGCCGCGUGAGUGAUGAAGGCCUUAGGGUUGUAAAGCUCUUUUACCCGGGAUGAUAAUGACAGUACCGGGAGAAUAAGCUCCGGCUAACUCCGUG
rnacentral:rRNA from 1 species